AGCUGGACAAAGCUGAGUCAAUGUUUUCAAUGACGGUAUUUAACAGUCAACAGUAUAGAGCAGACGAUUAGACCACAAUGCGACCCUGGAGAACAAGUGAAAGAAGCCCAGCCAGUACUUCUGACCCCAACAGACCGCAUAACGUGAGAUCUGGGGUGCUCUGGAGGUGAAUAUUUGAGUGGGUUGGUGAUUAACAGGCUUUUGGAAUAUGCGAUUGCUCAAUCAAGAUCAGUCACGGCUGGACUCAGAGACGCGGCAGCAGACAGUCAGGGUUGAUGCAAGUCCUGUGGACGUCGGGUUUGGUUCCAGCGCACUCCUCGUCGCUCAGCCUGCGGUAACUUCCAGAAGCCAGUCUCUGUUUACAGUAAACCUUACGCCACUGAGUGCCUCUGCCACACGAAUGAGAGCACUGACCCAGAGACCAAACAAACACCAACAUCAACACCAACAGACCAACCCUCGCCACAUGUACCACAACCACAAGAGCGCAGCAUGCAAGCAAAUGCAACCACACGACACUUGAUGUGCAGAUGUUGUCUAUCCAAAUAAACGAAAGCCAAGUGAAGAUUCAAGAACAGCUAUAAAAAUAAUUCCACAUCAUGUUCCGUGAUCAAAAAGACAUGCUCAAUGAAAAUAACGUCCUUUAAUGUGUCUGUGUUUUUUGUUUUUGUUUUUUUGUGAAUCUCUGGUGCUUUGUGCUGUUUUUAAUCACACAAGAAAAUGUAUGCAAAAGUCUCUCCUUGAUGUCUAGGAAAAAUCAUUGAGAUUUUAAAGUGGCCUCGUUGUCAUUUUCAUAAAAAUAAAAAAAUGUAAAUUGUG